rnacentral:rRNA from 1 species
GCCAGCCCGCUCAGAACUCCAAUGAAUUGACGGGGGCCCGCACAAGCGGCGGAGCAUGUGGAUUAAUUCGAUGCAACGCGAAGAACCUUACCUGGGUUUGACAUACACCGGAAAACCGUAGAGAUACGGUCCCCCUUGUGGUCGGUGUACAGGUGGUGCAUGGCUGUCGUCAGCUCGUGUCGUGAGAUGUUGGGUUAAGUCCCGCAACGAGCGCAACCCUUGUCUUAUGUUGCCAGCACGUGAUGGUGGGGACUCGUAAGAGACUGCCGGGGUCAACUCGGAGGAAGGUGGGGACGACGUCAAGUCAUCAUGCCCCUUAUGUCCAGGGCUUCACACAUGCUACAAUGGCCAGUACAGAGGGCUGCGAGACCGUGAGGUGGAGCGAAUCCCUUAAAGCUGGUCUCAGUUCGGAUCGGGGUCUGCAACUCGACCCCGUGAAGUCGGAGUCGCUAGUAAUCGCAGAUCAGCAACGCUGCGGUGAAUACGUUCCCGGGCCUU